rnacentral:lncRNA from 1 species
GGAAAUUUGUACUUCAGUUUACUUUAUUUUGACUGUAUCAAUACCAGACUCACAAAGGAAGAAGAAUUCUUUUUGGACAGAAGAGAAAAGAGCAAAAUGGCUGAGGGAGCUGAGAGCCAAAAGAAGUUUGGAGAUAAUAAGCAAGCAGUAAGCUGCCUUUGAUGAAUUCAAAUCACCAGAGAGUAUAUUCUAGAUGCUUGCCUUCUCUAAUAUGGGGUUGGAAGGGAAGGAGGGAAAAAGGCAACUCAGAACUGAAAAAAGUAACGAAAAGAAAGACUGUGGGUGAAUGAGAAACACAGUGGGACUGGAAAGAGACAAAAGUUGCCCCAGUCUUCACAAAAAGGAAA